rnacentral:tRNA from 1 species
CCGCCCAUAGUCUAACCGGAUAAAACACCAGAUUCCGAUUCUGGCGAUAGGGGUUCAAGUCCUCUUGGGCGGA